rnacentral:lncRNA from 1 species
ACCAUAUCCAUUUUAUAAAUUCAAAUCAAUCUUAAUCAUAACAAAAAAUUCAUGAAAAGGGGAAUCACACCCAUUUAGAAUUCAUUAUUUAAAGGAAAUCACACAUUCAUACCCCUUUCGCAUUCAAAUAUAAGAGAAUCAUGAACACCUGCAAAUUCAUAAUAUAGUAGGGGAAUCACAUCCCUUCCAACUUACAAUAAAAUAAAAUGAAAAUAUAUCAAUUCGUCCGCAAAAUAUGUAAUAAUUUAUCUUGAUCAACUGAAUGUCUCUGCGACUCUGCCCAAGUUCCGGAUUUUGGAAGCAAGUUUCACAAUGUAAUCUGCCAAAUGACACAAAAUAAAGUAUUAUACUGGUUAAUAGGAUUCCAAAAAUUAUAUAAACAAUUAACCAAAUAACUGAGAUUAACAAUAAAAUAAGAAGUAAAAAAUAUACCUGCUUAAGGAGUACAAAAAACUUAGAAGAUCCUUGAGAAAGAGAGCAAAUAAGGAUUGAAGAAUCACUGGUAAUAGAGAUUCUAAGAUACCAUUCUGGAAUUGCAAGAUUAUAGCGAUGUGAAUCGAGAGAAGACAGAGGAUAUGCUGAUUUGGGGUUUAGAGUUUAGAACAAAAUUAAAAGAGAGAGAG